rnacentral:rRNA from 1 species
UUGAAGAGUUUGAUCAUGGCUCAGAUUGAACGCUGGCGGCAGGCCUAACACAUGCAAGUCGAGCGGUAGCACAGAGAGCUUGCUCUCGGGUGACGAGCGGCGGACGGGUGAGUAAUGUCUGGGAAACUGCCUGAUGGAGGGGAUAACUACUGGAAACGGUAGCUAAUACCGCAUAAUGUCGCAAGACCAAAGUGGGGGACCUUCGGGCCUCAUGCCAUCAGAUGUGCCCAGAUGGGAUUAGCUAGUAGGUGGGGUAACGGCUCACCUAGGCGACGAUCCCUAGCUGGUCUGAGAGGAUGACCAGCCACACUGGAACUGAGACACGGUCCAGACUCCUACGGGAGGCAGCAGUGGGGAAUAUUGCACAAUGGGCGCAAGCCUGAUGCAGCCAUGCCGCGUGUGUGAAGAAGGCCUUCGGGUUGUAAAGCACUUUCAGCGGGGAGGAAGGCGAUAAGGUUAAUAACCUUGUCGAUUGACGUUACCCGCAGAAGAAGCACCGGCUAACUCCGUGCCAGCAGCCGCGGUAAUACGGAGGGUGCAAGCGUUAAUCGGAAUUACUGGGCGUAAAGCGCACGCAGGCGGUCUGUCAAGUCGGAUGUGAAAUCCCCGGGCUCAACCUGGGAACUGCAUUCGAAACUGGCAGGCUAGAGUCUUGUAGAGGGGGGUAGAAUUCCAGGUGUAGCGGUGAAAUGCGUAGAGAUCUGGAGGAAUACCGGUGGCGAAGGCGGCCCCCUGGACAAAGACUGACGCUCAGGUGCGAAAGCGUGGGGAGCAAACAGGAUUAGAUACCCUGGUAGUCCACGCCGUAAACGAUGUCGAUUUGGAGGUUGUGCCCUUGAGGCGUGGCUUCCGGAGCUAACGCGUUAAAUCGACCGCCUGGGGAGUACGGCCGCAAGGUUAAAACUCAAAUGAAUUGACGGGGGCCCGCACAAGCGGUGGAGCAUGUGGUUUAAUUCGAUGCAACGCGAAGAACCUUACCUGGUCUUGACAUCCACAGAACUUAGCAGAGAUGCUUUGGUGCCUUCGGGAACUGUGAGACAGGUGCUGCAUGGCUGUCGUCAGCUCGUGUUGUGAAAUGUUGGGUUAAGUCCCGCAACGAGCGCAACCCUUAUCCUUUGUUGCCAGCGGUUAGGCCGGGAACUCAAAGGAGACUGCCAGUGAUAAACUGGAGGAAGGUGGGGAUGACGUCAAGUCAUCAUGGCCCUUACGACCAGGGCUACACACGUGCUACAAUGGCAUAUACAAAGAGAAGCGACCUCGCGAGAGCAAGCGGACCUCAUAAAGUAUGUCGUAGUCCGGAUUGGAGUCUGCAAUUCGACUCCAUGAAGUCGGAAUCGCUAGUAAUCGUAGAUCAGAAUGCUACGGUGAAUACGUUCCCGGGCCUUGUACACACCGCCCGUCACACCAUGGGAGUGGGUUGCAAAAGAAGUAGGUAGCUUAACCUUCGGGAGGGCGCUUACCACUUUGUGAUUCAUGACUGGGGUGAAGUCGUAACAAGGUAACCGUAGGGGAACCUGCGGUUGGAUCACCUCCUU